rnacentral:rRNA from 1 species
GGGGGAUAUUGCGCAAUGGGGGGAACCCUGACGCAGCAACGCCGCGUGAGUGAAGAAGGUCUUCGGAUCGUAAAACUCUGUCAUCGGGGACGAAGGAAGUGACGGUACCUGGGAAGGAAGCCCUGGCUAACUACGUGCCAGCAGCCGCGGUAAUACGUAGAGGGCAAGCGUUGUCCGGAAUCACUGGGCGUAAAGGGUACGUAGGCGGAUAUAUAAGUCAAAUGUGAAAGGCACCGGCUUAACCGGUGAGCUGCAUUGUGAAACUGUAUAUCUUGAGUUCAGGAGAGGAGAGCGGAAUUCCUGGUGUAGCGGUGGAAUGCGUAGAUAUCAGGAAGAACACCAGUGGCGAAGGCGGCUCUCUGGCCUGAAACUGACGCUCAGGUACGAAAGCUGGGGUAGCAAACG